ACUCAAAGGAAUUGACGGGGGCCCGCACAAGCGGUGGAGCAUGGGGAUUAAUUCGUCAUUAACCGAAGAACCUUACCAGGGCUUGACAUCCGCAGCAAGUCCGUGAAAGCGGUACCCCUCGGCGCAAGCCGAGCUGCGAGACAGGUGUUGCAUGGCUGUCGUCAGCUCGUGUCGUGAGAUGUUGGGUUAAGUCCCGCAACGAGCGCAACCCUCACGCGAUGUUGCCAGCGUCAAGUCGGGCACUCUUCGCGAACUGCCCGGGUAACCGGGAGGAAGGUGGGGAUGACGUCAAGUCGGCAUGGCCCUUACGUCCUGGGCUUCACCCAUGCUACAAUGGGCGCGACAGAGGGAUGCAAGACCGCGAGGUGGAGCCAAUCCCAAAAAGGCGCUCUCAGUUCGGAUUGCAGGCUGCAACUCGCCUGCAUGAAGUCGGAAUCGCUAGUAACCGCCGGUCAGCUAAACGGCGGUGAAUACGUUCCCGGGCCUUGCACACACCGCCCGU
rnacentral:rRNA from 1 species